GUCUAUGGCCAUACCACCCUGAAUGCACUGGAUCUCAUCUGAUCUCAGAAGCUAAGUAGGGUCAGGCCUGGUUAGUACUUGGAUGGGAGAAAUUUUAUUUCAGCGUCACACUUU
rnacentral:rRNA from 1 species